GAUGAACGCUGGCGGCGUGCCUAAUACAUGCAAGUCGAGCGAACAGACGAGGAGCUUGCUCCUCUGACGUUAGCAGCGGACGGGUGAGUAACACGUGGAUAACCUACCUAUAAGACUGGGAUAACUUCGGGAAACCGGAGCUAAUACCGGAUAAUAUAUUGAACCGCAUGGUUCAAUAGUGAAAGACGGUUUUGCUGUCACUUAUAGAUGGAUCCGCGCCGCAUUAGCUAGUUGGUAAGGUAACGGCUUACCAAGGCAACGAUGCGUAGCCGACCUGAGAGGGUGAUCGGCCACACUGGAACUGAGACACGGUCCAGACUCCUACGGGAGGCAGCAGUAGGGAAUCUUCCGCAAUGGGCGAAGGCCUGACGGAGCAACGCCGCGUGAGUGAUGAAGGUCUUCGGAUCGUAAAACUCUGUUAUUAGGGAAGAACAAAUGUGUAAGUAACUAUGCACGUCUUGACGGUACCUAAUCAGAAAGCCACGGCUAACUACGUG
rnacentral:rRNA from 1 species